GGGGGCGACUGGAUUCGACACGAUAGUUCUGAGGGAGGAAGCAGGCCGCGGUCUCCUCACCGCGCAAAACAGGGGUAAACGCCAAUUAAAUGGCACCAAUAAUUACGCUCUCGCUGCCUAAAUAGCCAGCGACGCUGACCCGGUGCGCGUCCCCAGCACCGGCAAAGCGCAACUUAGGGGACUGCCGCAAAGGACGUAGUCGGUAUGCCUUAGCGAAAGACUGAACCGACUGGGAAGGGACACGCCGGUCACGGUGCGUCGUCCUGACCGAGACCCAAGCUGUGACUGAGCCUGGAGAUGCCUCCUAGGGUGCUAUCGUGGACCGGAGUUCGAUUCUCCGCGCCUCCACCA
rnacentral:tmRNA from 1 species